GCAAUUUCCUGGUGUAGA
rnacentral:snRNA from 1 species